rnacentral:rRNA from 1 species
GACGAACGCUGGCGGCGUGCUUAACACAUGCAAGUCGAACGGUGAAGCUCCAGCUUGCUGGAGUGGAUCAGUGGCGAACGGGUGAGUAACACGUGAGCAACCUGCCCCUGACUCUGGAAUAAGCGCUGGAAACGGCGUCUAAUACUGGAUACGAGAAGGGUCCGCAUGGGCACUUUCUGGAAAGUUUUUCGGUUGGGGAUGGGCUCGCGGCCUAUCAGCUUGUUGGUGAGGUAAUGGCUCACCAAGGCGACGACGGGUAGCCGGCCUGAGAGGGCGACCGGCAACGCGGGGCCGGAGAAGGGCCACGGACCCGAAGGGGAGGCGGGGGUGGGGAAGUGUGCAGAGGGGGAGAAGCCGUAGUGCGGCGACGCCGCGUGGGGGAGGGGGGCCUGGGGUUUGAAAACCACUUUCAGCAGGGAAGAGGGGAAAGUGACGGUACCGGGAGAAGAAGCCCCGGCUAACUACGUG